rnacentral:lncRNA from 1 species
UUUCUAGCACCAAUGGACUCCUUAGUGUACUGACUAAAGAAUUGUUAAGUGACAUUUGAAGUAUUUAGUGACUUUUCAUGUGAUUUCUCAAUUAUAACUUUAGGGCUUGAAGUUCCUGAACUAUGUUCAUUGACAAUGAGGUGUUGUGUUUUAGGAAUAUAAAGACUUCCUCUAUUUCCUUAGUUUGAUUUUCAUCCAAUAUUCUUGUAACUAUAUCUCAUAUGCUUGGUUCUUC